rnacentral:rRNA from 1 species
UCGAUAGGACCGGCUACCCCGGGAUGUUCAUAACCCUUUGUUGUCCGACUCUGUUGCCUCCGGGGCGACCCUGCCUUCGGGCGGGGGCUCCGGGUGGACACUUCAAACUCUUGCGUAACUUUGCAGUCUGAGUAAACUUAAUUAAUAAAUUAAAACUUUUAACAACGGAUCUCUUGGUUCUGGCAUCGAUGAAGAACGCAGCGAAAUGCGAUAAGUAAUGUGAAUUGCAGAAUUCAGUGAAUCAUCGAAUCUUUGAACGCACAUUGCGCCCCCUGGUAUUCCGGGGGGCAUGCCUGUUCGAGCGUCAUUUCACCACUCAAGCCUCGCUUGGUAUUGGGCAACGCGGUCCGCCGCGUGCCUCAAAUCGACCGGCUGGGUCUUCUGUCCCCUAAGCGUUGUGGAAACUAUUCGCUAAAGGGUGUUCGGGAGGCUACGCCGUAAAACAACCCCAUUUCUAAGGUUGACCUCGGAUCAGGUAGGGAUACCCGCUGAACUUAAGCAUAUCAAUAAGCGGAGGAA